rnacentral:tRNA from 1 species
UGGGGCGUGGCCAAGCGUAAGGCAACGGUUUGAUCCCGCCAUUCGGAGGUUCGAAUCCUUCCGUCCCAG